UAUAUACUAUUUUAUAUUAUAUAAUUUUUUAUCAUGAUUCCUUAUUAUCAUUUUGUAUAAAUAUAUAACUAUUUUUAUUAUUGUUAUUAUUAUUUGUUAAUCUAUAUCAGAGGUCUUCAGACUUGCUCCUGGGGAUCCACUGUCCUGCAAAGUUUAUUUCCAGCCUGCUUGGGCACAACUGAGCUUCACAUCCAUGUGAUUUUCAAGUGAUCCUGAAGAGCUUGAUUAGCAGGUUUGUUUGAUUCGGGUUGGAGGACAGUGGGUCCCCGUGGGAGCAUGUCUGUUAUUUUAUUUUUAUCAUAAGCAUGUUAUAUUAAUUAAUAUAAUUUUAGUCAUUUUUUAGCCACUCACCACACACACACAAAAAUUCUGCGAGAAUGAAGAAAUCGCUGAAGACCCCCGAAUCUCUGAGUUGUCGGCUUGUAGUAGGCGGUCCUACUCGCUCGCGGGAUCACUUUCUGUGCUCUGAUCGAUAGUUGCCGCAGCGCUCGGUCACUGUGCAGCGGGUAGGAGAAACUCACGGUAAGAGCGAGAAUCACACGAUUAUAAAGGAGUUCGGCGAGUGACGUAACAGUGGAUUUUAGAACGCGUUGCAUCUCCUAUUUAAUAUUCAAAUAUGGUCGGCCUCCCGAGAUGUUGAUUGGUUGAUGAGAGUCGCGUCUUUUAAACAGCUCGCGCGAGCAGCAGAGAGAUCUGAUGGAAGAAAACCUGUUGAUUCACUCUGUUCAUCUUGCGAGUUAUACUGUGUCGUGUUUUCUUGUGUUUAUGUGGUGGCUGUUGUUGUCACGGAAACUGUCUGAAAUGUAAACACUGAAUAAUGAUUGGUUAAAACGGAUUUGUUACAAGUAUAAACGUAUCGGCAUUUAUUUGGUCAUUAAUUACAGUGUGAUCACAGUCUCACCAGAGCAAACUCAGAGCUGGACAGAUCUCUCUGACACAGGCAGUGCAGUACAGCAUCAUGGAUAGAUGGGAAAAGCCGACCUUUUGAGACGGACUGUGAGAAGAAUCCUCCUCGCUCCAACUGCUGCACUACACACACUGCAGACACACAUUUUAGUGUUAGCUGAGAGGGUGACCGUGUCGAUGAAGCUGACUGGAGUGAAGUCCAGGAUGAUGGAGUGUGUGUGUUCCUGCACAUUGUCACAGCUGGAGGAGUGUGUGUCUAUCUUGUCCCGUUCCUCUUCCUCAG